ensembl:snRNA U6 U6 spliceosomal RNA
GUGUUCAUGCACUUGCUUUGGCAACACAGCUACUAAAAUUGGAACAAUACAGAGAUAACUAGCCUUACACUAGUGCAAGGAUGACACACAAAUUAUUUAGUGAAGCAUAUUGUUUUU